rnacentral:rRNA from 1 species
UGCAGUCGAGCGAGAAAGCACUUCGGUGUGAGUAGAGCGGCGGACGGGUGAGUAACGCGUAGGAAUCUACCCAGUGGUGGGGGACAACAUGGUGAAAACCAUGCUAAUACCGCAUACGCCCUACGGGGGAAAGCGGGGGAUCUUCGGACCUCGCGCCAUUGGAUGAGCCUGCGUUAGAUUAGCUAGAUGGUGGGGUAAUGGCCUACCAUGGCGACGAUCUGUAGCUGGUCUGAGAGGACGAUCAGCCACACUGGGACUGAGACACGGCCCAGACUCCUACGGGAGGCAGCAGUGGGGAAUAUUGCACAAUGGGGGAAACCCUGAUGCAGCCAUGCCGCGUGUGUGAAGAAGGCUCUAGGGUUGUAAAGCACUUUCAAUAGGGAGGAAAAGUUAGUAGUUAAUAACUGCUAGCCGUGACGUUACCUAUAGAAGAAGCACCGGCUAACUCCGUGCCAGCAGCCGCGGUAAUACGGAGGGUGCGAGCGUUAAUCGGAAUUACUGGGCGUAAAGCGCGCGUAGGCGGUUUUGUAAGCUGGGUGUGAAAGCCCCGGGCUCAACCUGGGAACUGCAUCCAGAACUGCAAGGCUAGAGUACAAGAGAGGUGAGUGGAAUUCCGAGUGUAGCGGUGAAAUGCGUAGAGAUUCGGAGGAACAUCAGUGGCGAAGGCGACUCACUGGCUUGAUACUGACGCUGAGGUGCGAAAGCGUGGGUAGCGAACAGGANUAGAUACCCUGGUAGUCCACGCCGUAAACGAUGUCUACUAGCCGUUGGUCUCACUUGAGUGUUUGGUGUUAAUCGAACAUCGAGUAUUCAAGUGAGAUCAGUGGCNCANCUAACGCGAUAAGUAGACCGCCUGGGGNGUACNGNCGCNNGGNUAAAACUCAAAU